GUGCUGACUUCGACAGCAUGUACAUUAAACUUGGAACAAUGCAGAGAAGAUUAGCAUAGCUCCUAGGAUGUGCAAAUUCAUGAAACAUUCCAUAUUUUU
rnacentral:snRNA from 1 species